rnacentral:rRNA from 1 species
UACAGAUGGUGCGAGCGUUAAUCGGAAUUACUGGGCGUAAAGCGCGCGUAGGCGGCUUUGCAAGUCGGGUGUGAAAUCCCCAGGCUUAACCUGGGAACUGCAUUCGAGACUGCAUUGCUAGAGUAUGGGAGAGGGAAGUGGAAUUUCCGGUGUAGCGGUGAAAUGCGUAGAUAUCGGAAGGAACAUCAGUGGCGAAAGCGACUUCCUGGACCAAUACUGACGCUCAUGUGCGAAAGCGUGGGGAGCAAACAGG